GUGCUCUACGCGUCGAUCAAGACAAGGGCUCACACGCAGGCGCACGCAUGGCCUGGUUCUGGGAUGGGCAUGUUAUUAGUUUGGGCCUGGUUGGGUUUGGGCUAAAGUUUGGGUUGAACCGGGUUACAUGGUCUAAUGGAUUUGGGUUGGGGUCGCUAAAACUGAGCUUGCGCCUAGCUAAUUAGGCCGAGUUCCAUGGCCCAAUGAGUUGGGCCAACUCAGGUAUGUAAAUCAGGUUGGUCCAAUUCCAGGCCGGGUUGGCCGAUUUCGUCGGAGAAGAAGGCCGAAGCUAUGCCAACUCCGUUCAACCCCAAAACCUAACUAAAACCUAUCAUGUGAUAUACCAAAAUGAAGCAUAAGGAACAAGGAAGAGAUUCAUAUCAAUUUCAAGACUUUUGGUAGCCGGAGUUGGUCGAAAAAUGGCCUGGAAGCCAUGUGUAUUUGCCGGAAUUUGGGAAAACUCUCCAUCGUGGUUUCUUCAUGAUUUUGACAUAAAAACAUACUAACAUAGUAAAAAUGCACUAGAAAGAUGAAAAUGAAAUGUUUGGAGUGUUUUGAGGCUUACACAUGUCUGGGGUGACGGAGACUUACAUGAGUUCCCACAUGCUCUUGCAUCGGUUUUCGUGGUGUCCAAGUUUUAGAGUCGUCAAAUGUAGGGAGGAGAUGGAUAAGAGAGGUGAGGAAGGUCAUAGAGAGAGGGUUGGUGUGUAUGUGGGUGUGUAAGCUACCCUCGGGGAUGGUUGUUUUCCAAAAUGCGUAGAGGGAGAGAUGAGAGAGAGAGAUAGAGGUCUGAGAGGGAGAGAGAUAUGGUAUAUAGAGAAAGGAAGAGAGGUUGGGUCGGGUGAGACAAAACCCAAAGGGUGGGCCCCACGUGGCUCACCAAUUAAGACUAAAUAGUAACCCAAUUCAAAAUAUCUUAAACCCAAAGUGAAAAUUACCAAGAUACCAUUUCAUUCCAAAAUCCGUAAUAUUAAUCGGGAUGGGUUGUUACAUUGUUAAUUUGAGCCACCUUAGUGAAGAAUGCAGCUUAUGGAUAAUAGCCACACAUGUGACCAACGUGUAUAAGCAUAAACCAAUACCAUAAAAUACAUAAAUGGUCCGUAGGGUGGUUGAAUCAGUCCACAAAUGUCCCUUUUGAAUCCUUUGUAGAAAAAAUGAAGGGUGCUAAAGUAUAAUAUGCGUCCAGGUAUGAUGUUUUUACUUAUGGUAAAAGGAUGCCCAAAACGGGGCAUCACAGAUCAUCCUAGAUAUCCUAAACGUACAUCCCUAACAAAAAUUCCUUUGGAAUCGCGUGCUUUUGGUCUGCCACAUAGUGGGCUUGAAUGAGAGUAAUCCACUCGUUAAGCAUUCUAUCUUCUCUAGAAUAUGCUUCUAGCUAUAUUCGUAGGAAGUGCAAUAUGGUAAUAUGCAAAUGAAUUUUACUCCAUUUUCUACAUUGGUUUCAAUAUGGUAAUAAUACUCUCGAAUAUCCUUAAAGCUCAAAAGAUGUUCUUCCAGAACAAGUAAGUAUAAGGCUUCCCUUUAUGGUAAAAUUAGUACCAUUGGACAAUAUAGGGUAGUGCCAUACCCCAUAAUCAAGUUGGAUACGCCUGAAAGGUUGUCAGGGGAUGAUUAGGUAUGAACUUAGCAUAGAACUAGACUGCUAACUUCCCCACAAAACAUACCUAAGCAUGAGUUAAUUGUAGUCACAUGUGGUAAUUUUCGUUAAUUAACUCUUUAUUUGAGAAUAAUAGUGACAUCCAAACACCAAUCUUAAAUCCAAGAAUAAAAUAAAUUAUUCACAAAGUAAACCAAAUAUACAAGGGGGUUCACCCAAUACGGCCUUCCAUGUUAAAUUUCGCUAUUCCAAAUGUGUUAGAUGGAGCAAAAUUAGUCUCAUAGAUUGACUACUGAAAUGGUACUUCUCAACAACAUUGAUAAAAACACAGAAAAGUGCAUAAUCAAUUAUCUAUGCCGUCAAAACGGAGUUAGAUUUUGCAGGGUUGAGGUUCGGGAAUACUAUCCCUUAUUCUUGAAGUUUUAGGUGCCAAGGAUCAUGCUUAAGGCGUGAUACCACCUCUUGGCAGGUCCAAAUUCUACCAUAGGUUGGAAAACAAACUCAAAAUUAGAUUGUAUGAGAGAAAGAUAGACCCAGACUUGGGUUUGGUAGGCUUCAGCCGAAACUGGAAAGGUCCGUUCGGUAGCCUCUGCUGAAGCAGAGCACUAAUAUUCGAUGCACCUCUACCGAAGUAGAGCAUGCCCUUCGGUGUAUCUCUGUCGAAGCAGAGCAUGCAUGUUGGUGUAUCCUUGCCAAAGCAGGGCAUCACCAUUCGGUAGACUCCAGCUGAAACUGGGUUUAUACCGUUCGAUAGCUCCUAGCUGAAUUACUGGGGUACCAUUCUCUCACGAGUGUGGUAGUAAUCAGAUUCGAGAAUUUGGUAAACUUCCGCUCUCUAUACUGCUACUUCAUGAGCAAUUUCGAUAUAAAAUGACGAGAAAGAUUUUCUUCCAGUCAAAAUUCAAUCGGAUAUAAACUUUAAAAUUGUGCCUAUUCAUGGACGUAAGGUUUCAAUCAUGUUUUGCUUCGGGCAAGAAUUCAUCUUUGCAUGUUUUGAAAUGAUCUAUAGCGUGUCAAAAGAGCCAUGGAGUCCUCAACAUUAAGGUACUUCCGUGUGAUAUGCUUCAGGCAUAAGUCUUCGAAUAAAGAUCAUGGCGAAGGCUUACUCAACUCUUCCACACCUUAACUGGUUACAAUGAUUUCACAACUAGUCAUAGUCAAGCGGGAUGUCAUGUCUUGUAUCCACAUAAAGUAGUUUCUUUGUAGAAACUUCCAAAUCAAUGAAAUCGAACUUAUUAUGGUUUGACAAUACGUUGAAUGGCAGAAACAAGAAUGUGAUUGGUGUUUUAGAAAAUAAAAUUUCCAUAAAUAUCAAAGUUAGAACAUUCAGGUUCUAAGACAUGGUUUGGUUUAAAUGGAUUUAAGCAUGGAGAACUUCGGGUCUCAACAUGAGUGUCGCGCUUUAAGAAACUUUAGGUUUCUAUGGAACUUUUCUGAAACUUGGGGUUCAGAAUUAUGAACUUUAGGUUCAUAAAACCUACAAACAAACGCAAUAUAUACAAGACAAAAAUAUAUAAAGCAAGAGAAAACAAAUAUAUUAUAGUGGGUAGCUUUGGGACCCUUUGUGUGAAAGUUUAGGGAAACGACACUAAAAGUAUGGAGCUUCAAUUCCAAAAAUAUUAUUUUAA
rnacentral:lncRNA from 1 species